UACCAGCUCUCCGAGUGGUAGGGAUGAUUAUUGGGCUUAAAGCGUCCGUAGCCGGCUUAGCAAGUUUCCUGUUAAACUCAGCGACUCAAUCGUUGGAUCGCGGGAAAUACUACUAGGCUAGGAGGCGGGAGAGGUCAACGGUACUUCUGGGGUAGGGGUGAAAUCCUAUAAUCCCGGGAGGACCACCAGUGGCGAAGGCUGUUGACUAGAACGCGCUCGACGGUGAGGGACGAAAGCUGGGGGAGCGAACCGGAUUAGAUACCCGGGUAGUCCCAGCUGUAAACGAUGCGAGCUAGGUGUUGGGAUGGCUACGGGCCAUUUCAGUGCCGCAGGGAAGCCAUUAAGCUCGCCGCCUGGGGAGUACGGCCGCAAGGCUGAAACUUAAAGGAAUUGGCGGGGAGCACCACAAGGCGUGAAGCUUGCGGUUC
rnacentral:rRNA from 1 species